rnacentral:rRNA from 1 species
CCUACGUGUGGCAGCAGUGGGGAAUAUUGGGCAAUGGGCGCAAGCCUGACCCAGCAACGCCGCGUGAAGGAAGAAGGCUUUCGGGUUGUAAACUUCUUUUGUCAGGGACGAAGCAAGUGACGUGACCUGACGAAUAAGCCACGGCUAACUACGGGCCAGCAGCCGCGGUAAUCCGUAGGUGGCAAGCGUUAUCCGGAUUUAAUGGGUGUAAAGGGCGUGUAGGCGGGACUGCAAGUCAGAUGUGAAAACCACGGGCUCAACCUGUAGCCUGCAUUUGAAACUGUAGUUCUUGAGUACUGGAGAGGCAGACGGAAUUCCUAGUGUAGCGGUGAAAUGCGUAGAUAUUAGGAGGAACACCAGUGGCGAAGGCGGUCUGCUGGACAGCAACUGACGCUGAGGCGCGAAAGCGUGGGGAGCAAACAGGAUUAGAUACCCCGGUAGUC